rfam:Tenacibaculum sp. LPB0136, complete genome.
ACUCAACGUUAUAGAUUUAAAAAGGAUGAGUUUUGGUUAGGAAAGCACGCCGUUAUUAUUAGUUUACUAAUUCUUAGACGGAUCCUUGAUAAGCCAGUUAGUCCUAAACCUGUUUUUUAGGAGUUU